rnacentral:rRNA from 1 species
UAGGGAAUAUUGGUUAAUGUGCGAAAGCGCGAACCAGCAACGCCGCGUGUGCGAUGAAGGCCUUCGGGUCGUAAAGCACUUUUUGCAGGGACGAGGAAGGACGGUACCUGCAGAAUAAGUCUCGUCUAACUACGUGCCAGCAGCCGCGGUAAAACGUAGGAGACGAGCGUUAUCCGGAUUUACUGGGGGUAAAGCGCGUGCAGGCGGGAUGGCAAGUUGGAUGUGAAAGCUCCCGGCUUAACU